rnacentral:rRNA from 1 species
UACGGAGGGUGCAAGCGUUGUUCGGAAUCACUGGGCGUAAAGCGCGUGUAGGCGGCUAUCUAAGUCUGAUGUGAAAGCCCUGGGCUCAACUCAGGAAGUGCAUUGGAUACUGGAUAGCUGGAGUACCGGAGAGGAGGGUGGAAUUCCUGGUGUAGCGGUGAAAUGCGUAGAUAUCAGGAGGAACACCGGUGGCGAAGGCGGUUGCCUGGGGCUGUGCUGACGCUGAUGCGCGAAAGCGUGGGGAGCGAGCCGG